ACCCGCACAAGCGGUGGAUGAUGUGGUUUAAUUCGAUGCAACGCGAAAACCUUACCUACCUUGACAUGUCCGGAAUCCCGAAGAGAUUUGGGAGUGCUCGCAAGAGAGCCGGAACACAGGUGCUGCAUGGCUGUCGUCAGCUCGUGUCGUGAGAUGUUGGGUUAAGUCCCGCAACGAGCGCAACCCUUGUCAUUAGUUGCCAUCAUUUGGUUGGGCACUCUAAUGAGACUGCCGGUGACAAACCGGAGGAAGGUGGGGAUGACGUCAAGUCCUCAUGGCCCUUAUGGGUAGGGCUUCACACGUCAUACAAUGGUCGGUACAGAGGGUUGCCAACCCGCGAGGGGGAGCUAAUCCCACAAAGCCGAUCGUAGUCCGGAUCGCAGUCUGCAACUCGACUGCGUGAAGUCGGAAUCGCUAGUAAUCGUGGAUCAGCAUGUCACGGUGAAUACGUUCCCGGGUCUU
rnacentral:rRNA from 1 species